rnacentral:lncRNA from 1 species
CACCUAAGCCUCCAAUCCGGUCUAAUGAACUGAGUUGACCAGGUAAGCUCCCAGGUAAGUGGGGGGGGUCACGAUGCGUUGCAAAGGUCCCACUUAAAAACCACUUGCCUCGAACAGAUGAACUGUCUCCCUUAUAGGGACAAAGCUUGCCUAGACAUCAACUGAGCCACAGAGCGAAAUUGGUGCAACUUUCGGUGAUCUUCGUCCUAUUGAGCUCGAAU